GGCGAGCACCCCUGAAAUGGAUCCCAGCACCUCACAGGCACACGUUUGGUGGCUCCCUCUCUCAGGUGUCCUAGAACCCAGGCAUCGCUUGAGCACGCCCCUUCUCUACCCCUUCCUCCUGGUCUCCCAUCCCGGAAGCUGAGUGUCCUGUCCUGUUCUGGGUGCCGGCGAUGGAACCCGGGCCUCUUGCAUGCUGGCCACACGCUGGACCCUGAGCUGAGCUGCACCCCAGCCCUGGGCGGGUGUCUUGAGAACGCAGCACCCGGAGUCGGAAGGCGAGCAGCGAAGUUUGGCGGUAGCGAGCGGUCGAGCCGGGGGCCCGGGCGCGGAGCAUGCAGGCCGGGCGGGCGCGGGGAGCGCGGGGGUGAGCGGGAGAGCGAGCGGAG
rnacentral:lncRNA from 1 species